GACGAACGCUGGCGGUGUGCUUCACACAUGCAAGUCGAACGAGGUAGCAAUACCUAGUGGCGGACGGGUGAGUAACGCGUGGGAAUCUGCCUUUAGAUGGGGGAUAACAGGUCGAAAGACUCGCUAAUACCGCAUAUGACGAAAGUUGAAAGGAGUAAUCCGUCUAAAGAUGAGCCCGCGUCCGAUUAGCUAGUUGGUAGAGUAAAAGCCUACCAAGGCGACGAUCGGUAGCUGGUCUGAGAGGAUGAUCAGCCACAAUGGGACUAGAGACACGGCCCAUA
rnacentral:rRNA from 1 species